GAUGAAGAACGCAGCGAAAUGCGAUAAGUAAUGUGAAUUGCAGAAUUCAGUGAAUCAUCGAAUCUUUGAACGCACAUUGCGCCCGCCAGUAUUCUGGCGGGCAUGCCUGUCCGAGCGUCAUUUCAACCAUCAAGCCCCGGGCUUGUGUUGGGGACCUGCGUCCGACGCAGGCCCUGAAAACCAGUGGCGGGCUCGCUGUCCACACCGAGCGUAGUAACUAACCUCGCUAUGGAGUGGCGCGGGCGCCUGCCGUAAAACCCCCAAUUUUUACAAGGUUGACCUCGGAUCAGGUAGGAAUACCCGCUGAACUUAAGCGUAUCAAUAAGCGGAGGA
rnacentral:misc_RNA from 1 species